CUAGUGGCUGUAAUUCUGCACCAAGGCUGCAUUUUGGGAAAUAGACUUUAGAUAUAGUAUUAGGGGACCACUAAGGUCUAUAUAAAAGCAUCCAAAGUGCACCAUAUCAUGGGACUUUUAAAAAAAGAUGGUGUGAUUU